GGGCGUGAAGACGUCUACUUGACUAGCUGAGAGGGGUGGCAUGGCCGUCGUCAGUUCGUACUGUGAAGCAUCCUGUUAAGUCAGGCAACGAGCGAGCCCACGCCAACAGUUGCCAGCUCGUCCUCCGGGGAUGGUGGGGACACUGUUGGGACCGCCUCUGCUAAAGAGGAGGAAGGAAUGGGCAACGGUAGGUCAGCAUGCCCCGAAUUAUCUGGGCUACACGCGGGCUACAAUGGGUGGGACAAUGGGUAUCGACACCGAAAGGUGAAGGCAAUCUCCUAAACCCAUCCGUAGUUCGGAUUGUGGGCUGCAACUCGCCCACAUGAAGCUGGAAUCUGUAGUAAUCGUGUCUCAAAAAUGGCACGGUGAAUAUGUCCCUGCUCCUU
rnacentral:rRNA from 1 species